ACAGAAUACCGUAUGGGAAGACACACAGAAGAAAACGAGAAGAAGACAAAGGCAUGCCGAGUUUCUGUAUAAACACAAAAGUUGGUGCAGGUAUGUUGCUUUAUUCAUUAAUAAAUAGAAUGUGUUUUUUAAUAUAAAUGAUUUUUGAUCCGGUAUGUAUGGUAAAAGGGUGAUAACAUAAUUUAAAAAAAAACAUUCAUUGACUGCAGCCACGAUUGACAGUGUUCGGGGCCCCCAGAGGGUGAUCAACCUCCUUUCCACUCUAGAUUUACCAAUAAUAAUCAAAGUACUGAAGAACUGACGGGAGUUGAUUUUGUCGAUGUUUAAUUAUUUUAAAAUUAAUGAUAUGUUAUUUUGCAUGACAAGUACAUGUAUACGUAGUUUCUAAUUUGAAUUACGCAUAUUUUUAUAAUAUGAAUUUUUGAACUUUUUCGACUAGAAUGUCGAGAAACCUCCAUAUGAAUCAUGUUAAAUAAUAUUUAAAGAUAAAAUUAAUUCAAUCAAACUAUGUAUCAGUGGUAGAAAUAUUUCUCGAAAAUUGUAUGGAUCCAAGCAAUAUUGAACUCUAGUCUCGUUCAACCAAACGCUCGGCUGACACCGUAAAUCUCCGACAAGGGUUUACGGAGACUGCCGAGCAUCGAGUUGAAAGAGACUAUAUUGAACUCUGGCGUAGGAAUACAUACGACUACAAAAACAUAUUUAAAUUGUUCGUACCAUUUAAAAUCUGACUAUUUUUAAGGUAUUUGUAAAUAAGUUUCCUUGAAAAACAAUGCUUUAGCACACAUUACAUCGCAUUCAUCAAUUAUUUUCAAGAACUAAGUCUUGUCAGGAGCAAUUAUGAUUUGUGCUGAGGUCCAAACACUGUUUCACUUUCGGUUUGUCCGAGUGACUGCAUAGGAGAGUUGAUUAAAAAUCAACUCCCAAAAAAGGAGUUUAAAAACAAUGGAGAGGAGAGCAGGCAAUAUAAUUGAGCAAUAUGCGGAGGAAAACAUGAAAAAAGAAAGCAAAAUGGCUUAUAAAAAAGACAUGUUGUAAGCAAUACUAUGUGUUACACAUGCAUACAUGAAUAUAAAUAUACCGGUAAAUGUACACACAUAUAAACACAAAUAAAUAUUUUUUUCAAAGUGUAAAUUUUAAGAGCAUGACUAAGAGAAAACCAUGCAAAGUGGUACAACUAUUAAUAUAAGUUUAAUUGACUCCACAUUUUGUGAACUAUAUGCACGUAUAUAUUUAUGAAUAGCUAUCUGAGUCUUAUACCUUUAAAAAAAAUACCUAUAUUUGUAACCUUUGUUUUUGUAGAGCUAUCUCACAGAGAGAAGAAGAAAAUUUUAUUGAGGAGUUUGCAGACUUGGGGGUAGCUGUCAUGCCUGAUGAAUUUGUUGGAGAUGUGUCCAGAUUGCGAGAAUCGAUUUGUCAAAAAAAUGAAAAUGGCAUUGAUGCUUUCUUUGAUCUCCUUGACCAAAGCCAUUGAAAGGUGGGACUUGCACAUGAUGAACAGGCAUCCACAUCACAGAAGCAGCAUCCAGUUGUGAAGAAAAAACUUUCCUUUGUUCCAAAGACUCGCCGAGGCAUGACAGUUUGCAGUGAUCAUGGGUGGCAGAAAAGAGGGUUUGACAGGCCAUACAUUCAUGAUGAGCAAAGAGAACAACAUUUUGAAGACUGUUGUGAAGUACCGCACUUGUGGAACAUGUAAGUGGUGGAGGAGAAAUAGACCAGGAGUACCUGUCAGGGAGCAUCGAUGUGUGUGGAAUCAUAAAGGAUCUGCGAGGGCGAUGUAGAGUGAAGCUGGCCUACAAGCAAUCAAAGAUAUGAUCCAACAAGGCUUUCGGUAAAAAUGGUCUCUCCCCGGGGUAUUUUAAUAUAAAGUUCUCCAACAAGAUGGAUGACGACAGAGUAAAGAAAAUGGAAAAGACAAGUCUGCCCGAAACAAAGCGCCGGCGACUUUUCCUAAAGCAGGAAAGAGCUAAUCAAAAAGAUGCAUCUGAAGUAUCGAAGGGGUCCACCUAUCAAUCAGUUUGACAAUUACUAAGUUUAAGAACAUGUGAACAUUUUAUUUUUUAUGAAAAACAGAUGAGAACAAUAUUUGCAUGUAUAUUUUUAAAAAUUGGCCUUGGGGCAGAGGCUGAUAUUGAAACAAUACUAGAUCCAGUUUCAAAACCAACAUUUGGAGCGGUUCAGAAACUGAAGAACACAAGACCAUUAUUCAUUAUAUUUGAUCUUGAAACUACUGGACUUAUCAGACAAGGAGCCAUGCCUCACAUUACACAGAUCGGUGCUGUGGAGAUGGAGUCUGGAGAAGCAUUCUCAACCUAUGUUCUACCAAAGAUUUUUAUAGAGCCAGGAGCUGAGCAGGCAACAGGGAUAGUUUACGAUGGAACCUCUGUAUUUGCCCAUGGAUUAAAUGUUGAUGUAGUUGCCAUACGUGAGGCGUUGUCAAAUUUCUUGAAGUGGCUUAGUACAUUAAGGAACUAUGAAGUAGUUCUUGUUGCUCACAAUGGCCGAUUAUUCGAUUUUCGUGUCCUUUCAAAUGCGGUUGUACGCACUGGCUUACAGAGGCAGUUUCUUGAUAAGGUGUCGUGAUUUACAGACUCAUUGUCUUUGAUUAGAUCAAAACACAGAUAUUUCUUGCUAAACAUUUUUGUAAUGAAUCUUAUUCUGCAUAUGAUGCACUGGAAGAUGUGAAAAUGCUUUAAAAAUAUUAUCAAAUGCUGUUUCAAAUUCUGAUUUAUGCAAAGCUACAAAUGAUUCCGAAGCCCAUUUUCUGCAAGAGAAGUCUAAUUCUGCAAAGUCUUUGUAUCUCCCAUCUUUGAAUGUCUUAGUGGGAAAUGGUGUUUUAAACAUGAGCAUGGCAGAGAACGUUGCAAGGUCUGGACUUGGCCUGAAUCAUUUAAAAAUUGUUCAUAGACGAGCAGGUGAAGAUGGUCUGCGAAAUGUUAUUUGUGCAAAAAAUGUUCACGGCAAACCAAGGGUAACAAAUAGCUGUAAAGUUUUAGACAGAGUAGUACCUAAGCUGUACAAGUUUUUCUCCCAAUAGAUAUGUAGAUUGUUACUGUAGUACUUGUAUAUGUAUUUUCUUGUACUCAGCCAGAUGUCUCAUUUUACUGCCAUGCAUAUAUGAAGUUAUUUUGCUGUUAUAUAAUAUAUAUAUCUUGCAAUAUUUUUAUGAAUUAUUUAAUUGAAAUUGCAUUAUAAUUCAUGUUUGCAUGGACUAUCAAAUGCAUUAGCUGUGUGUAGUCAUGGAGCGAAUUGAAUGU